GCGAUUCUGAUUUGGGGGCCCGGGGGCUGAAUCUAACGUAAUCAUUCUCGAAGUGAGAUACGAGGACCAAUAAUCAUAACCUGUCAACCCGAGGCCGUUGGCAAUCUUACAAAUAGUGACGUAUGCCCUUUAAAACUGACAGUGGCGCCUCCAGAAAUUGUUCAUAGGGGUGGCCAGACGGGGCCACUUAAAAUCUUGAGGUGGCACACCAAAACUAAAAAACAUAAUUUCAGGUUUUUAUUAUAUUGUUGCAGUAAAAGGCCAGAAGAAAACUAUCAGAAAGACUUAAGGACACGCCUACUAACAUACUUUGGUGUAUUGUGCUAUAUUUAAUGUUACUAAUGAUUUAAAGAGCAUAUGACACGAGAAAAAAAAGUCUUAAAUGGCAUUAUUAUGUGAAUUAGAAUCAUAUUUUGAGACGAUUCGACUAUAUACAACAAUUUAGAAACGCACAGUUGACGAGAAAUUAGUCUUUUAAUCUGCCGGUUAGCCACGCCUGCCAUUAUAGGGCUUUAGCGUCCCCAACACGUGGAUGACGUCAGCGGUAGACUGGGCUCAUCGGUUUUACUAUUCAGCCCAUUGAGGGGGAAUUAUUCAGAACGAGGAAAACGCGACGAAGAGAGCCGCAAAAUGUCAUUGUUUCAGUCUCUCUACUCCAAUAUUUUUACAGGAUAUUCUUUUUAUCCAAGUAUUUUUCCCCAAUAGCUAUAUAAAUGGCUUGAGAAGGACCAGUCAGCCCGUCGAGGGGGAACUAUUCACAACGAGGAAAACGCGACGAAGAGAGCGGCAAAAUGUCAUUGUUUCUGUCUCUUUACUUCAAUAUUUUUACAGGAUAUUCUUUUUAUCCAAGUAUUUUCCCCAAUUGCUAAAUAAAUGGCAUGUUCAUGACAAAUAACAGUCUUGUGCUGAAUGGAAUAUGAAAUAAUAAAAAUGCAUUUAUUCAGGACGACAUGGCAAAAUUACUCCAUAAUGGUCAAAAAUGUCGACUUCACCUUUACUGUCGCACCUCCCGAACGAUAUUUUAUGACACCUGAAUCGGACAUAUGUCAUUUCCUUUCCCUGGCUUCGGAGAAUGUAAACAAACCAGAAGCCGUGACAGCUAGCCGACAUGCUAACCCGAACCGAGUGAUGUUUCAAAGUCUUCGAAGUGGAAAAUCACACAUAACUAUCCUGGAUUAUUUGACAUGACGACCCGGUUGUCGAUUGUCUUAGGGGAUCGGCAAACCGCCCGGCGGAGAGCAAUUUACAGUUCGUUCCCCGGAGGAGGGUGGCUGGAUUUUUUGUGCAGCUAACGUGCUGCUGAUAAUGAGCAUUAGGAGAGCUUUUUACAUGCCUAUCAAUGAUCAAACGUAAGUAGUCCUUCAUUUAACCCCUUAACGCCGAAUGUCGCGAUUCGGCAUCAUACCGUUCCCGCUUUGAAAGCGGCCAAAAUAUCGUCUGCCUUUGUUCACUGCCGGUACAUUAAUGUCAAACACAUGCCUAGGAACCUUUUUCAAGCAUUAGUUUCAGUCGUGUCCGACCAGAGACAACACCGCUUCCUUUUCCGGACCGUGAUAUUCAAGAUGAAAGCCACGUCGAAGUCCUGCGCACCAACUUGACUAAUUCAUUCAAUUCAAGAAAUACAAAUGAAUGCAGCAGCUUUUUACGCAAAGCUAGCACACCGUGCCAAACCACCUCCUGUUGAGAGUGCUCUCAGUGAGAGUGAGGGCAGCAAUGAGGAGUACAAUCCUAAUAAAGCAAGUGAAGGUGAUGAAAGCAGCAGCAAUGACUCUACAGUGGACAUUAGCAGCAGUGAGGAAGAUGAUGAUGAUCCGCCUCAUCCACCUCCAACCACCAGUGCUGCACCUGCAAGACCUUCAAGAGCUACAUCAAGGGCAGAUCGAGCCUAAAGCAAUAUAUCCAAAAAAAAGCCAUACAAAUUGGGAUACAAGAUUUUUGUACUGUGCGACACAAGAGGUCUGGUGCACUCAUUUGACAUAUUCACAGGGAAAAUAGAUCCGGUACCAGGCCAACCAGACAUAGGAGCCAGUGGUAACAUUGUGCUCAAGCUUGCACAAGUCAUUCAUCCUGCUGUUCUUUGAUAACUGGUUCUCAUCUGUAGAUCUGUUUGUUGCUCUUGCAAAAAAGGGCAUACCUGCACUUGGGACCGUGCAGCACAAUCGCCUGCGUGGGUGCUGUUUCAGUGCAGACUCAUAGAUGAAGAAGAAGCGAAGAGGGACAUUUGAAGAGCAAGAGGCUCUUGUGGACAAUGUCUGCAUAAGAGCAGUCAAAUGGUUUGACAAUAGAGGGGUGAUUGUUGCCAGCACAUUUGCCAGUGCCCUGUCUGUUAUGAUAAAAAUCAUCUUUUAUUUAUUUAUCUACAUCAUAUGUCUUCUAGUCUGAUUAAAAAUGUGAUGUACAUCUGUGUUUAAACAAAAACAAUAAUUGUUUUUCAGAAUUUCACAAGCAGUGAAAAAAGAUGUUGCGAUAAAAGUGUGUUCAGACCUGA